UGGGGAAUAUUGGACAAUGGGCGCAAGCCUGAUCCAGCCAUGCCGCGUGGAUGAUGAAGGCCUUAGGGUUGUAAAGUCCUUUUAACGGGGAAGAUAAUGACGGUACCCGUAGAAUAAGCCCCGGCUAACUUCGUGCCAGCAGCCGCGGUAAUACGAAGGGGGCUAGCGUUGCUCGGAAUUACUGGGCGUAAAGCGCACGUAGGCGGCUUCUUAAGUCGGUGGUGAAAUCCUGGAGCUCAACUCCAGAACUGCCUUCGAUACUGGGAAGCUCGAGUCCGGGAGAGGUGAGUGGAACUGCGAGUGUAGAGGUGAAAUUCGUAGAUAUUCGCAAGAACACCAGUGGCGAAGGCGGCUCACUGGCCCGGUACUGACGCUGAGGUGCGAAAGCGUGGGGAGCAAACA
rnacentral:rRNA from 1 species